GACGAACGCUGGCGGCGUGCUUAACACAUGCAAGUCGAGCGGUAAGGCCCUUCGGGGUACACGAGCGGCGAACGGGUGAGUAACACGUGGGUGACCUGCCUCUAGCUCUGGGAUAAGCCUGGGAAACUGGGUCUAAUACCGGAUAUGACUCCACGGCGCAUGUUGUGGGGUGGAAAGCCUUGUGUGGCUAGAGAUGGGCCCGCGGCCUAUCAGCUUGUUGGUGGGGUGAUGGCCUACCAAGGCGACGACGGGUAGCCGGCCUGAGAGGGCGACCGGCCACGCUGGGACUGAGACACGGCCCAGACUCCUACGGGAGGCAGCAGUGGGGAAUAUUGGACAAUGGGCGAAAGCCUGAUCCAGCAACGCCGCGUGAGGGAUGACGGCCUCGGUGUAAC
rnacentral:rRNA from 1 species